AUGGAUAUUAAGUUUGACUGCCCUCAGAUGGAGAAAAUUAAGACCAAUAUAAGCUACCUGUCCAAAACUGUUGCCGAACAGUCCAGGAAGAUCAGGAAUCUGAAGGCUAAGGUGGGAAAAAGAAAUCUCCGGGUCAGGGUUGACAAGAUGGCAGUCAACUACCUGCCUACAGGAUCCUCUUCUGUUGUAGAUGAUGUGGCCUGGGAUUGCUAUCAUCUUACUCAAGAAGCUGACAACCUUGCCUAUCUGGCUGCCAUGUCAACUGAUGCAGUCAAGAGCGUUGGUGACUACCCAUAUGACACUGAGUCUGACUUUUCUGAAUGUGACGAGUUUUAUGUUUACUUCCCAUCUGACCAUGAGGGCCAGAACAGUGGUUACUACUCGUCGGACCUCGAGGGUGCUUGUGGUGCAAACUGCCUGUAUGACGAUUUCCUUAAUGAUGGAUCCGACUGA
rnacentral:rRNA from 1 species